GCUGAUGUCUGCGCCUUCCUCGCCUCGGACGACUCUCAGUACAUCACCGGAGCCAGCAUCGAAGUGACAGGCGGACUUUUCAUGGGUUAAAUCAGCCGUCCGGCGAGCGCGCGACUGAAGACUGAGACUAGUUUCUACGUAAUUAUUAUUUUUUGACUCUGAUUUUGAUUGUGUGAAUGUUUUUGUAAUUUUGAUGUGAACCUGUCACAUGUUGUCUUAAUAAACACUAGAAUGUAAUGUUGAAUCUGAAUGAAGCUUUAAGAAAGUUUUAACAUGUUU